rnacentral:rRNA from 1 species
AGCGCAACCCUUAUCCCUAGUUGCCAUCAGGUAAAGCUGGGAACUCUGGGGAGACUGCCGGUGAUAAACCGGAGGAAGGCGGGGAUGACGUCAAGUCCUCAUGGCCCUUACAUCCCGGGCUACACACGUGCUACAAUGGCAGGUACAGAGGGCUGCGAAGCCGCGAGGUGGAGCGAAUCCCAGAAAAACCUGUCUCAGUCCGGAUUGAAGUCUGCAACUCGACUUCAUGAAGGCGGAAUCGCUAGUAACCGCGAAUCAGCAGGUCGCGGUGAAUACGUUCCCGGGCCUU